rnacentral:rRNA from 1 species
ACUCCUACGGGAGGCAGCAGUGGGGAAUAUUGCACAAUGGGCGCAAGCCUGAUGCAGCCAUGCCGCGUGUAUGAAGAAGGCCUUCGGGUUGUAAAGUACUUUCAGCAGUGAGGAAGGUGGGUAUGUUAAUAGCAUACUCAUUUGACGUUAGCUGCAGAAGAAGCACCGGCUAACUCCGUGCCAGCAGCCGCGGUAAUACGGAGGGUGCGAGCGUUAAUCGGAAUUACUGGGCGUAAAGCGCAUGCAGGUGGUUUGUUAAGUCAGAUGUGAAAGCCCGGGGCUCAACCUCGGAAUUGCAUUUGAAACUGGCAAACUAGAGUACUGUAGAGGGGGGUAGAAUUUCAGGUGUAGCGGUGAAAUGCGUAGAGAUCUGAAGGAAUACCGGUGGCGAAGGCGGCCCCCUGGACAGAUACUGACACUCAGAUGCGAAAGCUGGGGAGCAAACAGGAUUAGAUACCCUGAUAGACUCUGC